CGCAAGGACAGCGGCGAACGGGUGAGGAACACGUUGGCAUCUGCCCCGAACUCAGGGAUACCUCGUCGAAAGACGAGUUAAUACCGGAUGGUCCCGUAAGGGUAAAGAUUUUUCGGUUCGGGAGGAGCCUGCGUCCUAUCAGCUAGUUGGUGAGGUAAUUGCUCACCGAGGCGAUGACGGGUAGCUGGUCUGAGAGGAUGAUCAGCCACAGGGGAACUGAGACACGGUCCCCACUCCUACGGGAGGCAGCAGUAAGGAAUCUUCCGCAAUGGGCGAAAGCCUGACGGAGCGACACCGCGUGAACGAUGAAGGUCGUAAGAUUGUAAAGUUCUUUUCUGAGGGAAUAAUUCUGAAGGUACCUUAGGAAUAAGCAACUGCUAACUACGUGCCAGCAGCAGCGGUAAUACGUAGGUUGCAAACGUUAUCCGGAAUUACUGGGCGUAAAGCGUCCGGAGGCGGUAAGUUAAGUCGAAUGUUAAAUGCUAUGGCCUAACCAUAGCGCUGCAGUCGAAACUGAUUUACUUUGAGACUUCAAGAAGCAAGUGGAACUCUGUGUGUAGGGGUAAAAUCCGUAGAUACACAGAAGAACACCAAAAGCGAAAGCAGCUUGCUGGGGAAGUUCUGACGCUCAUGGACGAAAGCGUGGGGAGCAAACAGGAUUAGAUACCCUGGUAGUCCACGCCCUAAACUAUGGACACUCGGUGUUGGGGGGCUCGACCCCUUCAGUGCCUAAGCAAACGCGUUAAGUGUCCCGCCUGGGUACUACGAACGCAAGUUUAAAACCCAAAGGAAUAGACGGGGACCCGCACAAGCGGUGGAGCACCUGGUUCAAUUCGAUAGUGAGCGAGGAACCUUACCUAGGCUUGACAUCCCGAGAAUUCUCCGGAAACGGGGAAGUGCCUUUUGGAACUCGGUGACAGGUGCUGCAUGGUUGUCGUCAGCUCGUGCCUUGAGGUGUUCGGUUAAGUCCGUAAACGAGCGCAACCCUUAUUUUAUGUUGUACUUUUCAUAAAAGACUGCCGGCUCUAAGUCGGAGGAAGGUAGGGAUGACGUCAAAUCAGCACGGCCCUUAUGCCUAGGGCUACACAGGUGCUACAAUGGUCGGUAUAACGGGAAGCAAUGGAGCAAUCCGGAGCAAAUCCUUAAAGCCGGCCCAAGUUCGGAUUGAAGGCUGCAACUCGCCUUCAUGAAGCUGGA
rnacentral:rRNA from 1 species